rnacentral:lncRNA from 1 species
AUACAAAAAGCAUUAAUUUUCUCAUUUGAAAUAUUUCACAUAUGUCAAUUUGGGGCCUUUUAUAGCUGACUAUGCGGUAUGGGUUUUUCUCAUUGUUGAAGGCCGUACAGACUACAGUGACCUACUACACUUGUUCACUUCUAUGACUUCUAUGUGGAGAGUUCAAAACUGAAAUAUUUACUGUAUUAGACACAUAGAUUUAAACCUAGAAGACACAUCUAUUAGUUGUUCUAAAUCUUAACAUGAUUAUAUAAAAAUGCAGGUCAAAUUGAAAAUAUAACAAUAGUUAUAUGAAUAGCUCUUCCUUACGUCAUAGGGUCAAAUAACAAUAUACUUCAAGUAGACUUUGUGACACUUUGUGCUUGUUUAAAUGUAUUGUGUAUUUAUUAUAAAUGAAUGUAAUGCGAAUUGCACAUAAAUCUGAUAAAAGAUUGUAUCUUAUGCAUAUUAUACGUUAUAUGCACAUUGCAUUAGAUAAAUAGAACGAAUGACCUUAGUCAACUGUCAGAGAAAAUCUUGGUCUCGUUUAAAUUGAAACUUCCAUGAAGUUUUUAUAUUGAUCACAUAAAUUUUGAUUUCAUUUGUUGGAUUCUUUGCAGAUUUAUAUAUCUUUGAUUUGGUAUGUUCAAUAGUUAGUGCGCCAUAUCAAAAUGUAUUGAAAAUGAUUGCGAUUAAUUCAUGACCUAAAAGUAUUUAAAAAAUAUUUCUCUGUUGCUAUCAGAAUGCAUUAUUUUGAGCUCUCUGAACUACCAUGUCUUAUUUUGAGAGUGGUAUGGGUACUUCAGGAAAUAUAAGAUAUUUUAAAUUAUUUGUUAAUAAUUGUUAUAUAUAUUAAGUUAUUUAUUGUAUAAUUUUUAAAUGUUGUUGAAGAAUUUUUGACAUUUUUGGUAUGUUGCACGUUUUGAUACAAAUAAUUCCGUCCAGUGAAAUGUUUACUUUUUGUAACUUUCAAA